rnacentral:rRNA from 1 species
AUUGAACGCUGGCGGCAGGCCUAACACAUGCAAGUCGAGCGAGCGGCGGGCGGGUGAGUAAUGCCUGGGAAUUGCCCAGACGGGGGGGAUAACAGGUGGACACGACUGCUAAUACAGCAUACGUUUGGAUUGAUCAGGGGGGAUUAGUGAGUUGGUGUGGUAAUGGCUCACCAAGGCGACGCUCCCUAGCAGGUCUGAGAGGAUGAUCUGCCACACUGGAUCUGAGACACGGUCCAGACUCCUACGGGAGGCAGCAGUGGUGAAUAUUGCACAAUGGGGGAAACCCUGAUGCAGCCAUGCCGCGUGUGUGAAGAAGGCCUUCGGGUUGUAAAGCACUUUCAGCGAGGAGGCGUUACUCGCAGAAGAAGCACCGGCUAACUCCGUGCCAGCAGCCGCGGUAAUAC